GAUGAACGCUGGCGGCGUGCUUAACACAUGCAAGUCGAGCGAAGCAUUUUGGAUAGACCCUUCGGGGGAUUGAAAAAGUGACUGAGCGGCGGACGGGUGAGUAACGCGUGGGGAACCUGCCUCAUACAGGGGAAUAACAGUUAGAAAUGACUGCUAAUGCCGCAUAAGCGCACGAAGACGCAUGUCUUUGUGUGAAAAACUCCGGUGGUAUGAGAUGGCCCCGCGUCUGAUUAGCUGGUUGGUGGGGUAACGGCCUACCAAGGCGACGAUCAGUAGCCGGCCUGAGAGGGUGAACGGGCCACAUUGGGACUGAGACACGGGCCCAAACUCCUACGGGAGGCAGCAGUGGGGAAUAUUGCACAAUGGGGGGAAACCUCGAUGCAGCGACGCCGCGUGAGUGAAGAAGUA
rnacentral:rRNA from 1 species